UAGACUGGGAUAACUUCGGGAAACCGAAGCUAAUACCGGAUAAUCAUAUAAGUUGCAUAGCUUCUAUGUAAAAGUUGGGUUUACCUAACACUACAGGAUGGGCCCGCGUCGCAUUACUAGUUGGUAAGGUAACGGCUUACCAANGCGACGAUGCGUACCCGACCUGAGAGGGUGAUCGGCCACUCUGGGACUGAGACACGGCCCAGACUCCUACGGGAGGCAGCAGUAGGGAAUCUUCCGCAAUGGACGAAAGUCUGACGGAGCAACGCCGCGUGAGCGAUGAAGGCCUUCGGGUCGUAAAGCUCUGUUGUUAGGGAACAACAAGUGCUAUUCGAAUAGGGUGGCACCUUGACGGUACCUAACGAGAAAGCCACGGCUAACUACGUGCCAGCAGCCGCGGUAAUACGUAGGUGGCAAGCGUUGUCCGGAAUUAUUGGGCGUAAGCGCGCGCAGGCGGUCUCUUAAGUCUGAUGUGAAAGCCCACGGCUCACCGUGGAGGGUCAUUGGAAACUGGGAGACUUGAGUACAGAAAGGAGAGUGGAAUUCCAUGUGU
rnacentral:rRNA from 1 species